rnacentral:rRNA from 1 species
AACGAACGCUGGCGGCAUGCCUAACACAUGCAAGUCGAACGAGAUCUUCGGGUCUAGUGGCGCACGGGUGCGUAACGCGUGGGAAUCUGCCCUUUGGUUCGGAAUAACAGUUGGAAACGACUGCUAAUACCGGAUGAUGACGAAAGUCCAAAGAUUUAUCGCCAGAGGAUGAGCCCGCGUAGGAUUAGCUAGUUGGUGUGGUAAAGGCGCACCAAGGCGACGAUCCUUAGCUGGUCUGAGAGGGUGAUCAGCCACACUGGGACUGAGACACGGCCCAGACUCCUACGGGAGGCAGCAGUGGGGAAUAUUGGACAAUGGGCGAAAGCUUGAUCCAGCAAUGCCGCGUGAGUGAUGAAGGCCUUAGGGUUGUAAAGCUCUUUUACCCGGGAUGAUAAUGACAGUACCGGGAGAAUAAGCUCCGGCUAACUCCGUGCCAGCCGCCGCGGUAA